UACGUAGGGUGCAGGCGUUAAUCGGAAUUACUGGGCGUAAAGGGUGCGUAGGUGGCGCCGUAAGUCAGGUGUGAAAUCUCGGGGCUCAACCCCGAAACUGCACUUGAUACUGCGGUGCUCGAGUACUGGAGAGGAGAUUGGAAUUUACGGUGUAGCAGUGAAAUGCGUAGAUAUCGUAAGGAAGACCAGUGGCGAAGGCGAAUCUCUGGACAGUUACUGACACUGAGGCACGAAGGCCAGGGGAGCAAACGGG
rnacentral:rRNA from 1 species